GUAAAUGAUCUGUGCCAUGUGUUGAUGGCAAAAGUUUAUUGAAUCAAUUAUAUCAUAGUCUAGACUUUUUUCUUUCUGUGUUUUGUCCUAUACUUACUUUGAUAAAUAAUUUGAUCUUUGAUGUGCUCAAGAUUCCAAAGUGUUUGUUUUGCCAAAUUAUAGGUGGUUGGUUAUGUACAAUGUGACAGAUUCUAUUUUUAUUUUUUUCAAUGUUUUGGACCUCAAAAUAUUAUAUGUGAAUCAAUGCACCUUGC
rnacentral:misc_RNA from 1 species